GAUGAACGUUGGCGGCGUGGAUUAGGCAUGCGAGUCGAGCGAGAACCGUAGCAAUACGGGGACAGCGGCGAAAGGGAGAGGAAUACGUGGGUACCUACCCUCAGACUCAGGAUAGCCAUGGGAAACUAUGGGUAAUACUGAAUAAUGUCUUCGGACCAAAGGUGUGAUUCCGUCCGAGGAGGGGCCCGCGUCCUAUUAGCUAGUUGGUGAGGUAACGGCUCACCAAGGCGAAGAUGGGUACGGGAUGUGAGAGCAUGAUCCCGCUCAUUGGGACUGAGACACUGCCCAGACACCUACGGGUGGCUGCAGUCGAGAAUCUUCGGCAAUGGGGGAAACCCUGACCGAGCGACGCCGCGUGCGAGAUGAAGGCCUUCGGGUUGUAAAUCGCUGUCAGUGGGGAGGAAGUGCAGGUGGGUUCUCCCAUCUGUUUGACCUAUCCGCAGAGGAAGGACGGGCUAAGUUCGUGCCAGCCGCCGCAGUAA
rnacentral:rRNA from 1 species